rnacentral:rRNA from 1 species
ACGGUAACAGGCCCGGCAACGGGUGCUGACGAGUGGCGCACGGGUGCGUAACACGUAUGCAACCUACCCUUAACCGGGACAUAACACUGAGAAAUUAGUGCUAAUAUUCCAUGGUAUUACGAAGAGGCAUCUUUUUGUAAUUAAAGAUUUAUUGGUUAGGGAUGGGCAUGCGUCCCAUUAGUUAGUUGGAGUGGUAACGGCACACCAAGACGAUGAUGGGUAGGGGUCCUGAGAGGGUUAUCCCCCACACUGGUACUGAGACACGGACCAGACUCCUACGGGAGGCAGCAGUAAGGAAUAUUGGGCAAUGGGCGGGAGCCUGACCCAGCCAUGCCGCGUGCAGGAAGACGGCCCUAUGGGUUGUAAACUGCUUUUGUUUGGGACUAACAGCCGGGUCGUGACCCGGCCUGCAGGUACCGAAUGAAUAAGCAUCGGCUAACUCCGUGCCAGCAGCCGCGGUAAUACGGAGGAUGCGAGCGUUAUCCGGAUUUAUUGGGUUUAAAGGGUGCGUAGGCUGGUAAUUAAGUCAGUGGUGAAAUACUCCGGCUCAACCGGGGGGCUGCCGUUGAUACUGGUUACCUUGAGUUUAGAUGAUGUGGGCGGAAUGUGUCAUGUAGCGGUGAAAUGCAUAGAGAU